CCUCCUUCUUUCCUUCCUCCCCUCCCCCCCUCCCCCCCCCUUCUCCCUCCCUAUCCCCUCUUCCCCCUCCAUCCCCCUUCUCCCUCCCUAUCCCCUCUUCCCCCUCCCUCCCCCUUCUCCCUCUUCCCUCCCCUUUCCCCCUCCUCCCACACCUGCUCUCUGUGACAUCACCACUUUGCUCAAUGCAAAUCAGAGCCGUUUUCUUCCCCCACCCCCCCCCCCCAGCCCUUGUCCACAAUUGAUAUCCUUAGUGGAUUAUGAUUUGGAGCAUCUUUGACUCGCUUUAAAUCCUGUCAGCAAACGCCUCCUUCCAGUGCAGGAUGAGAGACAAAGCAGGAAGCUGAGGCGAAGGAAUUUCAGAACCCCUGGCUUUGUUCCUGGGGUUUCCUACUUAAUAAAUAAAAGCAACCUGCCUCAAGGGACAGUCAGACAUCUCUAGCCAUCGCAGUCGGCUUUCCCCGCAGCUCCCUGGGGCUAUGCCACAGCUCUGUUCCAUUGAUGCGCGCACAGAAGCCUGAGUGGUCCGCUCCAGGGCAGACCCACAUCGGAGCUGUGACUCAAAGCCAGGAAACCCGGCCCUCUGUGCUGGCCCCGUUGCGGAGACCCGUGGCUGAUGAGACCGACCCCGGGUGUAAGCUCGACAAGGAAUGA
rnacentral:lncRNA from 1 species